rnacentral:rRNA from 1 species
CAGCCGCCGCGGGAAUACGGAGGGUGCAAGCGUUACUCGGAAUCACUGGGCGUAAAGGACGCGUAGGCGGAUUAUCAAGUCUCUUGUGAAAUCUAACGGCUUAACCGUUAAACUGCUUGGGAAACUGAUAAUCUAGAGUAAGGGAGAGGCAGAUGGAAUUCUUGGUGUAGGGGUAAAAUCCGUAGAGAUCAAGAAGAAUACCCAUUGCGAAAGCGAUCUGCUGGAACUUAACUGACGCUAAUGCGUGAAAGCGUGGGGAGCAAACAGGAUUAGAUACCCCUGUAGUCACUGUCUCUUAUAC